AAAAAAAAAUCUUUGGAGAGAUCACAAAAAGAUUACCCUAGUUAUAUCAAGUCAAUUGAAUAACAUUUGCUAAGGUUAGUAAGAUAGCAACAUUUCAUGCUAUCUUAAUUUACUUUGAAACUUUGUCCUUCCAAAGAUAGCUUUAAAAUACAUCCAUUGCAAACCUUUUUUCUUUGCACCGUGGCCUCCAUGACAUCCAGUGUGUUGAUGCUAAAUUUUAAAUAUGCACUUAGAAUGUAUGUGGCCAACAAUAAUUUCCAUGAAAUUAAGUGCAUGAUUCAGAUUUAAAAAAAUUAUGUGCUUCCGAAUACAAGGGAAGGUGUUAUUCACAAUUAUUUGGACAAAUAGAUUCUCGGCAAACCCGAUGGUUGUACGAAAUCAUUUGCAGGCUUACGAUUCUGAAAGACAUGAUACAGUUAUCUGGACAAAGAGAUCAUUGAUAUUUUGAUGAACCUGAUUGCUCCCCUACUGUUGAUAAUGAUUCCGGCGAGAUUAGGAGCGUCGGUCACAAUGGCAACUUACGUUUGACGACAACUCGUACGUGACUGAAAAAACGAUGCCAAGCAUAACGUACUGAUGAAUCGGCACCACAAUAAUCUGAGUAAACAAACAUCGAUCUGCUCUGACCUAAAAAUUUGAGUGUUGAAGAUAAUAAAACUCCUCAAAGGCACACACCAAUAUGAUUUCCUGGUGCAUGAGCCAAAAAGUUGCAAAAUUAAAACACAUACCAGACAACACUGUUUUUUCGAACCGCUGGGCAACAAUAAUUGCAUAAUACCAUUGAGAUUAACAAUGCCAUCAAUGACAGAUAAGUGGGAGAAAGAAUAUUGAUUUUACCUCAAAAACAAAAAUCUUUGAAAAUCCCUAAAAAAGGCCGAAAUUAAUGUUUCUGCAAUCUAGUUAAUUAGUCCAAGUCAACAUGUCAAUCAUACAUGGAAGAGAAGAUCAUAUUGUUACCUGAGAUUAGUGAAACUUCUUCAAUUGUGUAAAGCCGCGGACCUGCAAAAUCUACAUGAUGCGGCCAGACUCAAUUUGAUGUCAAAUUUAUAGGAAGUAGGCCAGAUUUCCUAUUCAAAUAGGAGUAGAUCAUCAAAUUUAUAGGAAUUAAGCCAGACUUCCUACUUCCUGUUCAAAAUUGUAGGAAUUAAGCCGGACUUCCUAUUCAAAUAGGUGUGAAUUGCUUGGUACACCCUCCGUAAACUAAUAGAAGAACGUUUAGAUCACUAUUUUAGUGAUCUAAACACUCUUAUAUUAAUUUACAGAGGGAGUACACUGUAAUCAACACUAUCUGAAACAAAGCAAGCAACGAUGAGAAUAAAGCAAGGGGAGCUUGGCACUACAGCAAUCGCUAGUUCCCCCAUGUGUUGGCGGGUCUGUUGUAGCUAGCUCCAGAAUCGAUUGGGGUAGGUCGGUACGCAUACGGCCGCUGAAAUUAAUCAAGGACCGUGCCUCGUGCUAGCUUUAUCUAUAAGCUAGCUUGCAAAAUACCCCUCGGAAAGAAAAUCAGAUUUAUCUAUGAAGCUAGCUUGAGGAAUACCCCUCGGAAAGUAAAUCUAGUCGUACGUGCAUGCAUCGGCUACGUACGCACCCAACCAAUCAGAAUCAAUCAAGGUGCUUCCUCCGUCAAGUGCUAGCCUCCUGUUAGUUAGUGUCGACGAGAGACGUCUCGGUUCACUGGAAUCGAGCUGCGCCGGGUCAUGCGGCUGGACCAAAAUCUAUGGACCUAUUUUGCGAUGCCGUCAUCGAUAGCCAGAGGACCUGAGUGCCGUGAUGUGGACAACGCCAGGGUUACCUUCAUGCCAAUAGGUUGAGGGCUUGAGGCCACGCCGUCCUAAUCCUCCGUGUCUCUGCGUCAGGAGGCUGAGACCUUGCCGCCGUGCCCAGGGUUACCUUCAUGCCAAUAGGUUGAGGGCUUGAGGCCAUGCCGUCCUAAUCCCCCGUGUCUCAGCGUCAGGAGGCUGAGACCUUGCCGCCAAGCCUCGCGUUGGGGGCGCCGCUGCUGCCGCUCCACGACGAUGCGACUCGAGGGUCGCGUCAAGCCACGCUACCAUGUUGCGCUCCAGCCGCGUGUGGAAUAUGCGCAAGGAAUAUGAUGGAGUCACGAUGGCGUGUGGUGGCCGGGAUAGAUCAAGGAAUACAUGUUUUUUUUUCUCUACUACCUAAUGUUCCGUUUCCCCUCUUACGUUGUCCCCUCUUCGUCCAACCUCUCGUACGACCCCCUCUCCUUUGUAGCGAUUUUCUUUCCCCCUGCACCGGUUUUCUCCCUGCCGGUUUUAUCAUCAUCACGUAAGGUAACCAGACGCAAUCAAUUUGUCACGGGAUGGAAUGUUUAGUAUACGAUACAAUACAAUAAAACGGAGCGAUAUCUCUGGCGAUUUUCUUGCUCCCGAUAUUUUUGCAUGCGAUAAUGUAAUGGUGCUAGCAUCAGAAGGAAGCAAUCACGUGUAUGUAGGGAAUAUAAUCGCGGAGAUUGCAGGGCAGUUAAGGCCGUGUCUCACAUGCAGGAAGGAAUUCCCGAAUUCAGCGGAAGAGAAUACGACGUCUGCCUCAAGAUCGCCUCAAGAUCGUCCUCUAGAUCACAUGCAGGAAGGAAUUCCCGAAUAAACAGGUUUUGUUUUUUCCAGACAAACCAGGAUCAAUCUUUGGUAACACAUUCAAUUCUCACAUGGUAAUCAAUCUCUUCUUUGUCAAUGCAUAACGCAAUCAAUUCUCACAUGGUGAUCACGUGCAUAUUCUUCGCUUCCUUAUCUUGGUUUAUUUCUUGCCUUUUCUGCGUGCUGAUUUUUUCUCUUCAUAAAUAUCUCUCCCUUCCUUAUCUAGGGUACCUGCAUCGUGGAUAUAUAGGAUCCCGCUCGCACCGCGCCGGGAGGCCACCAUCCUCCUCGAGGAGAAUCGGCCGGAGCACCAUGACCAAGGUAAAAUCAUGGUAUUGUCCAGUACUCGCCUCGAGUCUACAACAACAAUGCAGGACACUAGAGGCCCACCUAACCCGCAUCGCCUCUGCGCACCUACGUUGAUUGUCGCCGCAGAGCCCUUUUCUCCAAGUAGACGGCCGCGCGACAGAGGUCCUCAAUGUUUUAUAAUUUUCUGCUGUGUUUCGUAUCUGCUUGAUUGCCAUUUGUAAUGUACUUUUUCCUUGGUAUAGUUACGGGGAUCUGCAUGAUGGCAAGCUAGCCUGCAUGAUGCAGUCAUGUAAGAUACGUGCAAUGGCCUGAUGGGAGCUAGCUUGUUUCUUAAUUGCUUCAUUGUUCAUCUUCCUCUUUGUCAGGGUGAUCCCAUGAAUAUAUUGAUUAUAUUUCUCAGAAAAAUCAGGCUCUCAAUACGCACUGAUUAUUCUCUGUAUUGCAGAAAACGUAAAUCAUUUGCGAGCUAGAAGGAACUCAUCAUUCUAAGUCUCCGGUUGUACUCUUAGUUAGGUUGGAAAAAAAUUGUAACUAUCCUUUUAAGACUAGCACUAUUUAUAUUCCCAUGCUUUUUCCAGCAUAUACUAUCUGAGUUGGUUAAUUCUUUUCAAAACUUUCUUCUUUUUAAGUUGUGAUGCAAUGCCACUGUCCAUUGUUUUGGUCACAAGAAUUUAUUAUUUAGUUUUUUUGGAACGAAGGCUCCAGAAGAGUCCGACUUUGAAUUAACAAAGCCAUCAACCGGCCAGGACUUACAACGACCCAAACAACAAGAAAGAAAACAAAGAAAACUGAAAACGGCAGAUACAAGGUGCUUCCAAACAGCUUACACACACCACAACAGAGAGCACAAGGAUAUUCUACCGGAAGUCUAGCUAAAUGUUGAUGGAGCUCUUCGACGCGAAUUAAGCACCAAAACAGUGACAGCAAGCGAGCUUCAAGAGGAAAUCGCGCUCAGCGAAGAUGAACAUGCCCUCAUCAAACCCAAAGGAGACCACCAUCAUCGAACCUUCCUUCUUCAAUUCCGAAGGGGACCCCUGCCCCUCGCCCUGGAUCGAAGGGCGCCGGACCGUCGCAAAUUGAAGCAGCUCACCCUAGAGCAAGGAGCGGUAGAUUCAGUAUCGCCUUGGGAGAUACUCAGUGUGACCAACCCACUGUGCAAGAUCACCAGGAGAAGGGCCAAACCGCAGCUCAAUGGUCACCACACGAAGAGAAGAAGCUGUACAAGGACGAGGGCAACGAAGAAACAAUCACAGAGUUGAUAAACACCUGAAGCUGAGACAUGACUUUUGCUUAGAUUAGAAUCCAUGUCUGAAUCGCCUAUGCCGUAUUGCUGCAUGCAGGGGAGAGGAACCCUAUCCCCUCCCCCCACCAUGGCAACACACAAACGGCCGGCCUACGGACACCCCAGAGAGCUAAUCUUGUGAAAAAUCCCAGUGUUAUCUCCAACUGAGAUGUCGCUGCGCGCCGGAGAACCACAUCUAAACGCCAAUGCACACUCCCAACUCGCCCAAGACGACACCUUCAGGAAGAUGACGACGCAAGCCGCGCCGCUGCCGCCUAGACCAGAACUGGCAAAGGUUUUCACCCGGGUAUGAGAGGGGAGGGAGAGGGGAUCGAACCUCGACGGCGCCUCCGAGAAGGGGAACGAUGCCAGCCGGCGUCACAGCCGUCGUGGCCGGAAAAGCCGGUCAAAGAUUUCUCCCGGUCCGAGCUCUCAACUCCGGCAACCCCACUUUCAACGGAUCCGGCGACCGACGCCCGCCACGACCCAAAUCCAGCGAGGAACAGGCAAGGGAAGGGGGAGGAAGAAGAUCUCCAGAUUUGACGCGCAGCCAGGGGCACGAGGCCACCCGCCUCGACCAUCGCCCAACGCCUCAACCACUCACCGCCCGCACGGCCAAGUGGGAAGGAGGAGCACCAGCAGACGCCGCUCGCCGCAAAGCAGGCGCCGCCGCACCAUCCGAGGCCACUGCCUCGGCUACAAAGGCCCUUCGCGUGGAGACGGAGCGGCACGGCCUCGCCGCCACCUUCCCUAGCAGCCUGCGGACUUCGCCGGCGACCCCUCUGGCGGCGGCGAGGCAGGGGGACGGGGGGAGGAGGCUUGGCGGCUAGGGUUGCGUCGCCGCCUGCGUCGCCCCGUGCGGACCGAGAAAAAUUAUUUGUAUGUAUGCGAUGAUUCGAAUUUAUUAUUUAGUCUAGCAUGGUCUUAUGUAUUUGCAUGAUUGUGCCCAGUAUUAAGGUUAGUUUCUUGAUAAAUGAAAAAAGGGCUUGUUUGGAUAUUAAGAUACAUAAUAACAUGAUGAGGCCAUGCUUGUGCAUCAUCAGUUCAUCACUAAUAAUAUUCAUUGUGGCCAUGUAUGUAUAUUAUUUUGGAAGAAUAAUAAUUGGGAAAAUAUUUGUCG
rnacentral:lncRNA from 1 species